rnacentral:rRNA from 1 species
UACGUAGGUGACAAGCGUUGUCCGGAUUUACUGGGCGUAAAGAGCGCGCAGGCGGUCGUUCAAGUCGAGUGUGAAAGCCCCCGGCUCAACUGGGGAGGGUCACUCGAUACUGAUCGACUCGAAGGCAGGAGAGGGUAGUGGAAUUCCCGGUGUAGUGGUGAAAUGCGUAGAUAUCGGGAGGAACACCAGUGGCGAAGGCGGCUCUCUGGACGGUGACUGACGCUGAGACGCGAAAGCGUGGGGAGCAAACAGG